CGGCGUGCCUAAUACAUGCAAGUCGAGCGAACGGACGAGAAGCUUGCUUCUCUGAUGUUAGCGGCGGACGGGUGAGUAACACGUGGAUAACCUACCUAUAAGACUGGGAUAACUUCGGGAAACCGGAGCUAAUACCGGAUAAUAUUUUGAACCGCAUGGUUCAAAAGUGAAAGACGGUCUUGCUGUCACUUAUAGAUGGAUCCGCGCUGCAUUAGCUAGUUGGUAAGGUAACGGCUUACCAAGGCAACGAUGCAUAGCCGACCUGAGAGGGUGAUCGGCCACACUGGAACUGAGACACGGUCCAGACUCCUACGGGAGGCAGCAGUAGGGAAUCUUCCGCAAUGGGCGAAAGCCUGACGGAGCAACGCCGCGUGAGUGAUGAAGGUCUUCGGAUCGUAAAACUCUGUUAUUAGGGAAGAACAUAUGUGUAAGUAACUGUGCACAUCUUGACGGUACCUAAUCAGAAAGCCACGGCUAACUACGUGCCAGCAGCCGCGGUAAUACGUAGGUGGCAAGCGUUAUCCGGAAUUAUUGGGCGUAAAGCGCGCGUAGGCGGUUUUUUAAGUCUGAUGUGAAAGCCCACGGCUCAACCGUGGAGGGUCAUUGGAAACUGGAAAACUUGAGUGCAGAAGAGGAAAGUGGAAUUCCAUGUGUAGCGGUGAAAUGCGCAGAGAUAUGGAGGAACACCAGUGGCGAAGGCGACUUUCUGGUCUGUAACUGACGCUGAUGUGCGAAAGCGUGGGGAUCAAACAGGAUUAGAUACCCUGGUAGUCCACGCCAUAAACGAUGAGUGCUAAGUGUUAGGGGGUUUCCGCCCCUUAGUGCUGCAGCUAACGCAUUAAGCACUCCGCCUGGGGAGUACGACCGCAAGGUUGAAACUCAAAGGAAUUGACGGGGACCCGCACAAGCGGUGGAGCAUGUGGUUUAAUUCGAAGCAACGCGAAGAACCUUACCAAAUCUUGACAUCCUUUGACAACUCUAGAGAUAGAGCCUUCCCCUUCGGGGGACAAAGUGACAGGUGGUGCAUGGUUGUCGUCAGCUCGCGUCGUGAGAUGUUGGGUUAAGUCCCGCAACGAGCGCAACCCUUAAGCUUAGUUGCCAUCAUUAAGUUGGGCACUCUAAGUUGACUGCCGGUGACAAACCGGAGGAAGGUGGGGAUGACGUCAAAUCAUCAUGCCCCUUAUGAUUUGGGCUACACACGUGCUACAAUGGACAAUACAAAGGGCAGCGAAACCGCGAGGUCAAGCAAAUCCCAUAAAGUUGUUCUCAGUUCGGAUUGUAGUCUGCAACUCGACUACAUGAAGCUGGAAUCGCUAGUAAUCGUAGAUCAGCAUGCUACGGUGAAUACGUUCCCGGGUCUUGUACACACCGCCCGUCACACCACGAGAGUUUGUAACACCCGAAGCCGGUGGAGUAACCUUUUAGGAGCUAGCCGUCGAAGGUGGGACAAAUGAUUGGGGUGAA
rnacentral:rRNA from 1 species